rnacentral:lncRNA from 13 species
CAUCUCUCCUUCUCCACACUUUCCUGACACACAGCUUCUAAAACACUUGGAAUCUCCAAAACGGACAAGAACCCAGAACCUACUGAAUGGACCUGUAGGAAAGGAGCUGUAACACUAUACCCCUCCUGCUCUCUGCCAGCGCCACCACACAUGAGAGGAAGGAGCAGCAGGGUUGGGCCAGCUCAGGAUCCCUAGUUUGGAACAGGCAAAGAACAAGCCAAGGUGAAGAAUUAAAAUGUGAAUAAAGAAGCUUUUAGAGAGGUUGUAGAAGACAGCGUGAUGAAGUGAUGUUUCUGGAAGAGUACAACAAGCAACUAGUUGAAGUGAAGGACGACAAGGAGAAAGGAGUAGCUCAAAAGAAUAGACCUGCCAGGCUCAUAGCUGGAAGGAGCUUGCCUUGAGUCUCAAAUAAGACUUUGGACUUGAAACGUUUGAGUUUUUGCUGUAACAGUUACUUUAGAUUUUCAAGGAGCUCAUCUGGAGUGACCGUGCAGGUCACAGAGGUUAACAUGGCAUUCAUGGGGCAGUCAGUUGGCCUAAAAGACCUUACAUACUGCUUGUCUACUAUGCUGUGAUGUAGCCCACCACCCUAACUAAAAGGUGAGCAGAUAACAGCACCAUGCUCUUGGACUAGAAUUGUCACCAGAAUUGAGAGACAAAUGAAUCUAUUUUCUUUAUAAAUUACCCAGUCUCAGGUUUGCUAUUAUAGCAACACAAAUGAACAAAGACAGGAAGUAAUUAGCAUUAGAUAAGAUCAUCAGGGUAGAAACUUCAUGAUGAGGCGGCAGCUUUAUAAGAAGAGGAAGUGAGACCUAAGCUAGAACAUUUGCUCUGUCUUGCCACAUAAUGUCUCUUGCCAAGUCAUCACACAGCAAGAAGGCCCUCAUUAGAUAGCUGUGCCAUGCUCUUGGAUUUCCCAGCCUCCAGAAGAAUGAGCUAAAUAAAUCUCCAUUCUUUAUAAAUUACCCUUCUGUA